GCGCGGCGAAAAAACCUUACACACAGUGUUUUCUUUAUUAGAAACUAUUGCUUUGGUCUGGCUUAGAAAUAAGUUGGGCCAGAGGUUAACCAAACUUCAAUUUUAUUAUUGAAUUGUUAUUUUAUUUAAUUUGUCAAUUUGUUGAUUAAAUUCAAAAAAUCUUCAAAACUUUCAACAACGGAUCUCUUGGUUCUCGCAUCGAUGAAGAACGCAGCGAAAUGCGAUAAGUAAUAUGAAUUGCAGAUUUUCGUGAAUCAUCGAAUCUUUGAACGCACAUUGCGCCCUUUGGUAUUCCAGAGGGCAUGCCUGUUUGAGCGUCAUUUCUCUCUCAAGCCCUCGGGUUUGGUAUUGAGUGAUACUCUUAGUCAGACUAGGCGUUUGCUUGAAAAGUAUCGGCAUGAGUAGUACUAGAUAGUGCUUUCAGGAUAUUUCAAUGUAUUAGGUUUAUCCAACUCGUUGAGAAUUCUUGGUAGUGAAUUUUUAGUAUCAU
rnacentral:rRNA from 1 species